GUCCAGGGAUGGGAAUUGAACCCACCGUGUUCCGCUUACCGGGCAGAUGCCAUGUCCACUAGGCUACCCUGGA